GGAGAAUUGGCAGAGUGGUCGAUUGCGGCAGUCUUGAAAACUGUUGUACCGAGAGGUACCGUAGGUUCGAAUCCUACAUUCUCCG
rnacentral:tRNA from 1 species